rnacentral:rRNA from 1 species
GACGAACGCUGGCGGCGUGCUUAACACAUGCAAGUCGAACGGAAAGGCCUCUUUCGGGGGGUACUCGCGUGGCGAACGGGUGAGUAACACGUGAGUAACCUGCCCUUGACUUUGGGAUAACUUCAGGAAACUGGGGCUAAUACCGGAUAGGAGCUCCUGCUGCAUGGUGGGGGUUGGAAAGUUUCGGCGGUUGGGGAUGGACUCGCGGCUUAUCAGCUUGUUGGUGGGGUAGUGGCUUACCAAGGCUUUGACGGGUAGCCGGCCUGGGAGGGUGACCGGCCACAUUGGGGCUGAGGUACGGCCCAGACUCCUACGGGAGGCAGCAGUGGGGAAUAUUGCACAAUGGGUGGAAGCCUGAUGCAGCAACGCCGUGUGCGGGAUGACGGCCUUCGGGUUGUAAACCGCUUUCGCUCAUGACGAAGCUUUGUGUGACGGUAGUGGGUAAAGAAGCACCGGCUAACUACGUG